rnacentral:rRNA from 1 species
AUACGUAGGGGGCGAGCGUUGUCCGGAAUGCUUGGGCGUAAAGGGCGCGUAGGCGGCCCGGUAAGUCUGGAGUGAAAGUCCUGUUUUUAAGAUGGGACUUGCUUUGGAUACUGUCGGGCGUGCGUGCAGGAGAGGUAAGUGGAAUUCCCAGUGUAGCGGUGAAAUGCGUAGAGAUUGGGAGGAACACCAGUGGCGAAGGCGACUUACUGGACUGUAACUGACGCUGAGGCGCGAAAGUGUGGGGAGCAAACAGGAUUAGAUACCCUGGUAGUCCACACUGUAAACGAUGAAUGCUAGGUGUAGGGGGUAUCGACCCCUUCUGUGCCGCAGUCAACACAAUAAGCAUUCCGCCUGGGGAGUACGGCCGCAAGGUUGAAACUCAAAUGAAUUGGCGGGG